CCAGACUCCUACGGGAGGCAGCAGUGGGGAAUAUUGCACAAUGGGGGAAACCCUGAUGCAGCAACGCCGCGUGAGUGAGGAAGUAUUUCGGUAUGUAAAGCUCUAUCAGCAGGGAAUAGAAAAGAAGGUACCUGAAAAAGAAGCCCCGGCUAACUACGUGCCAGCAGCCGCGGUAAUACGUCCCCCCCCCCCCCUACCCGGAUUUACUGGGUGUAAAGGGAGCGUAGACGGAAAGGCAAGUCAGAAGUGAAAGCCCAAGGCUCAACCAUGGGACUGCUUUUGAAACUGUCAAACUAGAGUACGGGAGAGGUAAGAGGAAUUCCUAGUGUAGCGGUGAAAUGCGUAGAUAUUAGGAGGAACACCAGUGGCGAAGGCGUCUUACUGGACCGAAACUGACGUUGAGGCUCGAAAGCGUGGGGAGCAAACAGGAUUAGAUACCCGUGUA
rnacentral:rRNA from 1 species